UCUCAUUGAUGAGACGGAUUUGAAGGAAUUUGUCAUUAUUCGCACACAAGACGACACUUUCUUGUAAGUCAUGAAAAUCGCAAGAGAGCAUCUAAACCAUUGUAUCCAUAUAGAGCUUCUCGAUCGGGAUAUAGAGGAGUCGAGGAAAUAAUUGUACACAUGGCUGAUCCUAAGUUUGGAAGUGGUGCCGGUGGAACUUGCGAAGUCGCCAAAAACCAAACCCAACACUCACCGAGGUAA